rnacentral:rRNA from 1 species
AGGGCGUACGGUGAAUGCCUUGGUGCCAACAGGCGAAGAAGGACGCGGCAAGCUGCGAAAAGCCUCGGGAAGCUGCAAGCAAGCGAUGAUCCGGGGAUAUCCGAAUGGGGUAACCUGAUCGAGGCAAUACUCGAUCGUUCAUACCUGAAUACAUAGGGUAUGAAACGCGAAACCCGCUGAAGUGAAACAUCUCAGUAAGCGGAGGAAAAGAAAGAGAAAUCGAUUCCGUAAGUAGUGGCGAGCGAAAGCGGAUGGAGCCCAAACCGAAGGUAUUCCUUCGGGGUUGUAGGACCACGUCAUAUUCGACCAUACUGGAUAGUAGAACAGCCUGGAAAGGCUGGCCGGAGAAGGUGAAAGCCCUGUAGACGAAAUCCAGAGUGGGAAUUAGUGGUAUCCUGAGUAAUACAUCACACGUGGAACGAUGUAUGAACCCGCGCGGACCACCGCGCAAGGCUAAAUACUAGUUGGCGACCGAUAGUGAACAAGUACCGCGAGGGAAAGGUGAAAAGAACCGCUGUGAGCGGAGUGAAAUAGAACCUGAAACCGUAUGUCUACAAAGUGUCAGAGCAGAGCAAUCUGCGAUGGCGUGCCUUUUGUUUAAUGAGUCUGCGAGUCAGUGUUUGUGGCAAGACUAAGGGCUUCCGGCCCGGAGUCGCAGCGAAAGCAAGUCCGAACAGGGCGCAAUAAGUCGCAGGUACUGGACCCGAAGCGGAGGUGACCUACCCUUGGCCAGGUUGAAGCAUGGGUAAAACCAUGUGGAGGACCGAACAGGUGAACGUUGAAAAGUUCUCUGAUGAGCUGAGGGUAGGAGUGAAAGGCUAAUCAAACCCCGUGAUAGCUGGUUCUCUUCGAAAUGCAUUUAGGUGCAGCGUCACGUGCUGAUGCGCGGGGGUAGAGCACUGACAAGGCUAGGGGGCACACCCGCUUACCAAACCUUAUCAAACUCCGAAUACCGUGCAAUGGAACGUGGCAGUGAGACAGUGGGGGAUAAGCUUCAUUGUCGAGAGGGAAACAACCCAGACCAGCAGCUAAGGUGCCUAAAUAACGCUCAGUGGAAAGGAUGUGGGAUUACACAGACAGUGAGGAUGUUGGCUUAGAAGCAGCCACCAUUUAAAAAAUGCGUAAUAGCUUACUCAUCGAGUGAUCCUGCGCCGAAAAUGAUUGGCGAUCAAGCGUUAUACCGAAGCUCUGGACUUUGCCGCAAGGCAGAGUGGUAGAAGAGCGUUGCAUGCGCGUCGAAGGGCGAUGGCGACUGACCCUGGAGCACAUGCAAGUGAGUAUGCAGACAUGAGUAACGUUAAGCCGGGUGAAAUCCCCGGCCGCCGUAAACCCGAGGUUUCCAGGGCAACGUGUUUCGUCCCUGGGUUAGCCGGGACCUAAGCCGAGGCCGAGAGGCGUAGGCGAUGGACAUCAGGUUAAUAAUCCUGAGCUCGCAACCCUUAAACUGGGGGGACGCAUGAGAAAAGAUGACUAGGUUAUUGAAUUCCGAGUUGAGUCCACGGACUCAGCGCAUCAUUGGAUCGAGUGCCAAGAAAAGCCCCAGCGUAUGCUAAGCGACCCGUACCGCAAACCGACACAGGUGGGUGGGUAGAAUAUACCAAGGCGUAAGAGUGAAACCUGGUUAAGGAACUCGGCAAAUUAGCCCCGUAACUUCGGAAGAAGGGGUGCCUGCAGCGAUGCAGGCCGCAGAGAAAUGGCCCAACCGACUGUUUAUCAAAAACACAGCACUCUGCAAAGACGCAAGUCGAAGUAUAGGGUGUGACACGUGACCAAUGCCGAAAGAUUAAGGCAAGGGGUUAGCCGCAAGGCGAAGCUCUAAACCCAAGUCCCGGUGAAUGUCGGCCGUAACUAUAACGGUCCUAAGGUAGCGAAAUUCCUUGUCGGGUAAGUUCCGACCUGCACGAAUCGUGAAACGAGUUGGGCACUGUCUCAACCAGGCGCUCAGUGA